UCGAAGACAGUUCUAAAGAGGAGGCAAAAUUGGAGGAGAGGAAGAGGAAAUGUUGUUGAUGGUGUGCAGAGAGAAUGGCCCAGGCGAGGUGUUGUCUCAGGAGAGUCAGUCGAAGUUGAAAGACGAAGCUCUGUCCUCUGCUAUUACUAUGCGUGAAAUGUUGGAGGAGGAGGUCCGUAGAGGCGAUGUCACGGGAGCUAGUGACUACAAUGGUAGUGAUCUCGCAAUGGUCCUUAUGGAAGAGGAAGCCCAGGCAGUUGUCGUGGCAUCAGAUCCAGACAUUGAGGAGAUUCUAACUCUGAAGUUUAGAUGGAGCCGACCUGACGAACAAUGAAAGACGAAGGAGCUCACUAUGAGUUUUGUAGAAUUCAAUAACAUGAGUUUUGUAGAUUGAUGAGCUUGACAAGAGAGAGGGAGUGGGCGGUUUGGAUGAUGAGGAGAGGAUAAAAAGAUAUCCUUUGAAGGGGAAGUUGGCAAGCAAAAUCAAUAUGGAGGAGACCUCUUCAAGACAAAAAUCCAAAAAAACUGGUUGAAAGAAGGAGACAAUA
rnacentral:lncRNA from 1 species